AUCUGGUUCAGGACGAACGCUGGCGGCGUGCCUAAUACAUGCAAGUCGAACGGUCUUUCUAUGGAAGCUUGCUUCCACUGAGAAGAUAGUGGCGAACGGGUGAGUAACACGUGGGUAACCUGCCCAUAAGAGGGGGAUAACAUCCGGAAACGGGUGCUAAUACCGCAUAGUUUUCUUGAUCGCAUGAUCGGGAAAGGAAAGACGGCCUUUGUGCUGUCGCUUAUGGAUGGACCCGCGGCGUAUUAGUUAGUUGGUGAGGUAACGGCUCACCAAGACGAUGAUACGUAGCCGACCUGAGAGGGUGAUCGGCCACAUUGGGACUGAGACACGGCCCAAACUCCUACGGGAGGCAGCAGUAGGGAAUCUUCCGCAAUGGACGAAAGUCUGACGGAGCAACGCCGCGUGAGUGAAGAAAAGGUUUUCGGAUCGUAAAACUCUGUUGUCAGAGAAGAACAAGUUGGAGAGUAACUGCUCCAGCCUUGACGGUAUCUGACCAGAAAGCCACGGCUAACUACGUGCCAGCCGCGGC
rnacentral:rRNA from 1 species